rnacentral:rRNA from 1 species
UUCCAGACUCCUACGGGAGGCAGCAGUGGGGAAUAUUGCACAAUGGGGGAAACCCUGAUGCAGCGACGCCGCGUGAGCGAUGAAGUAUUUCGGUAUGUAAAGCUCUAUCAGCAGGGAAGAAGAUGACGGUACCUGACUAAGAAGCCCCGGCUAACUACGUGCCAGCAGCCGCGGUAAUACGUAGGGGGCAAGCGUUAUCCGGAUUUACUGGGUGUAAAGGGAGCGUAGACGGCGGUGCAAGCCAGAUGUGAAAGCCCGGGGCUCAACCCCGGGACUGCAUUUGGAACUGUAUGGCUGGAGUGUCGGAGAGGCAGGCGGAAUUCCUAGUGUAGCGGUGAAAUGCGUAGAUAUUAGGAGGAACACCAGCGGCGAAGGCGGCCUGCUGGACGAUGACUGACGUUGAGGCUCGAAAGCGUGGGGAGCAAACAGGAUUAGAUACCCCGGUAUAC